GUGCUUGCUUCGGCAGCAUAUAUACUAAAAUUGGAAUGAUUCAAAGAAGAUUAGCAUGGCCCCUGCACAAGGAUGACAUGCAAAAUCAUAAAGCAUUCCAUAUUUUU
rnacentral:snRNA from 1 species